rnacentral:rRNA from 1 species
UACGUAGGGGGCGAGCGUUAUCCGGAUUCAUUGGGCGUAAAGCGCGCGUAGGCGGCCGCCUAAGCGGAACCUCUAACCCCGGGGCUCAACCUCGGGCCGGGUUCCGGACUGGGCGGCUCGAGUGCGGUAGAGGAGAGCGGAAUUCCCGGUGUAGCGGUGGAAUGCGCAGAUAUCGGGAAGAACACCGAUGGCGAAGGCAGCUCUCUGGGCCGUCACUGACGCUGAGGCGCGAAAGCUGGGGGAGCGGACAGG